GUUGGUGAACCAGCGGAGGGAUCAUUAGCGAGUUGCAAGACUCCCCACCAGUGCGAAUGCUACCUGUAACCGUUGCUUCGGCGGCGUCGGCCCCCCUGGGGUCACCCGCCGGCAGCGCCCCCAACUCUGUUUUUGUAGGCCUCUCUGAGUACCUGAGCAAAUCAGUCAAAACUUUUAACAACGGAUCUCUUGGUUCUGGCAUCGAUGAAGAACGCAGCAUCUGACUGACUAAGAUUCGGCGCAUCUCGUA
rnacentral:misc_RNA from 1 species